GACGAACGCUGGCGGCGUGCUUAACACAUGCAAGUCGAACGGAAAGGCCCUGCUUUUGUGGGGUGCUCGAGUGGCGAACGGGUGAGUAACACGUGAGUAACCUGCCCUUGACUUUGGGAUAACUUCAGGAAACUGGGGCUAAUACCGGAUAGGAGCUCCUGCUGCAUGGUGGGGGUUGGAAAGUUUCGGCGGUUGGGGAUGGACUCGCGGCUUAUCAGCUUGUUGGUGGGGUAGUGGCUUACCAAGGCUUUGACGGGUAGCCGGCCUGAGAGGGUGACCGGCGACACUAGAGCUGAGCCACGGUCCAGACUCCUGAGGGAGGCAGCAGAAGGGAAUCUGACGCAAUGGGCGAAAGCAUGACGGAGCAACGCCGAGUGAGUGAUGAAGGUCUUCGGAUCGGAAUGCUCUGUUAUUAGGGAAGAACAAAUGUGUAAGUAACUAUGCACGUCGUGACGGUAACUAAUCAGAAAGCCACGGCUAACUACGUG
rnacentral:rRNA from 1 species